rnacentral:rRNA from 1 species
AUUGAACGCUGGCGGCAGGCCUAACACAUGCAAGUCGAGCGGAGCGGCGGACGGGUGAGUAAUGCCUAGGAAUCUGCAUGGUAGUGGGGGAUAACGUCCGGAAAUGGGCGCUAAUACCGCAUACUAUGAGUUGAGCCUAGGUCGGAUUGGGUAGUUGGGGGGGUAACGGCCUACCAAGGCGACGAUCCGUAACUGGUCUGAGAGGAUGAUCAGUCCCACUGGAACUGAGACACGGUCCAGACUCCUACGGGAGGCAGCAGUGGGGAAUAUUGGACAAUGGGCGAAAGCCUGAUCCAGCCCUGCCGCGUGUGUGAAGAAGGUCUUCGGAUUGUAAAGCACUUUAAGUUGGGAGGCGUUACCGACAGAAUAAGCACCGGCUAACUUCGUGCCAGCAGCCGCGGUAAUAC